rnacentral:rRNA from 1 species
GGAAUAUUGGACAAUGGGCGAAAGCCUGAUCCAGCAAUGCCGCGUGUGUGAAGAAGGCCUGCGGGUUGUAAAGCACUUUCAGUAGAGAAGAAAAGCCUACGGUUAAUAACCGUGCGUCUUGACGUAAUCUACAGAAGCAGCACCGGCUAACUCCGUGCCAGCAGCCGCGGUACUACGGAGGGUGCAAGCGUUAAUCGGAAGUACUGGGCGUAAAGCGAGCGUAGGCGGCUUUGUAAGUCGGAUGUGAAAGCCCUGGGCUUAACCUGGGAAUUGCAUUCGAUACUGCAUGGCUAGAGUAUGGUAGAGGGAAGUGGAAUUUCCGGUGUAGCGGUGAAAUGCGUAGAUAUCGGAAGGAACACCAGUGGCGAAGGCGACUUCCUGGGCCAAUACUGACGCUGAGGUGCGAAAGCGUGGGGAGCAA